GACGAACGCUGGCGGCGUGCUUAACACAUGCAAGUCGAACGAUGAACCACUUCGGUGGGGAUUAGUGGCGAACGGGUGAGUAACACGUGGGCAAUCUGCCCUUCACUCUGGGACAAGCCCUGGAAACGGGGUCUAAUACCGGAUAACACUGCCAUGGGCAUCUGUGGUGGUUAAAAGCUCCGGCGGUGAAGGAUGAGCCCGCGGCCUAUCAGCUUGUUGGUGAGGUAAUGGCUCACCAAGGCGACGACGGGUAGCCGGCCUGAGAGGGCGACCGGCCACACUGGGACUGAGACACGGCCCAGACUCCUACGGGAGGCAGCAGUGGGGAAUAUUGCACAAUGGGCGAAAGCCUGAUGCAGCGACGCCGCGUGAGGGAUGACGGCCUGGUGUAAC
rnacentral:rRNA from 1 species